AUUUAAAAUUUUGACAUAGUAAUUGGGGAGGGGUUUACGCGAUGGACCGCGCUCACACACGAACUAAUUUUUGUUAAGUUUACUCUCGUUUCUGAUCAUUAAAUUCCUGCUGAACAUUCGAGAUCUUUCCCUCGAGAGUCUUCAUUUCUUUUUGCACUACCACUCUGACUUUAUCCUUUUAGCCUUUUUCCAAUUUCUGGAAUCUUCAAAAAGAAAUCUUUAAACUCUUUUUAAUAUACUUGAAUACACUACUCUAUCUUGUUCACUUGUUUCAUUCGUCUUUGUACCGCAAAUCCUUUACGUCUUCUUCCCUCAUCUCAAAGUUCAAGCCAAAGGGAAUUAUGUCUCAGAACAUGUGACUGCGGGACACUUCCACAGAUUCAGCCUUGAUCAAGAACUGUAGUUUAGAAAGUGAUUUUUGUUCAUUCUGAAGAUAAUGGAAACCAACAGCAGUAAUUCUCAUUCCCAUGAAAGUCAGAGUUCGGAGGUUCCCAAUGAUGCUAGCAAAGACAGUUCAACUGAGAAAGUGGUCUUUUUAAAUCAUGUGAUACCAGAGGCUAGCCAUCAAUGCUUUAUAAGACUCUAGCCAGUGUUUAAAUCAGCUGAGAUAGCUUGGCAUGAGAGGAGGAAGCAGUGGGUGGUGUUAAGUCUCAAAAGUCAAAGAGAUUACCUAGAGAGCCAGUUAUGAGGCAUGUAAUAUAUAGCUUGUUCUUUUUGAUGCUGCUGGCAUGCAUACAUUCAGUAAAUAGCUAAGAAUUGUUUUUCCAACAUUAUUUUUGGUUUCUUUAGUUUAUUUGCUGGUACCUUAAAUUUGUAUAAUACAAGUGGAUGUAAUCUGAUCCAGAUCUUAGGAAUCACAUCUUAUUAUCACUCAUUGAAUAUUAACUUUGGUUGCUUCAACAAUUGCAUCUGUGUAUCAUAGGAUUGGAUCACUGAAUUGUAUUAGUGGUUGAGUUUUUUAUUUGCUUUUCUGUCAUCUGCAUGUUAGCACCAGAUAUGAGAAACAUUUUUUUAAUGUACAUUCCUUAAUAUCUAAUGUGAAAAGAAUGUUCUUGAAAUGACUAUAUCAAUCUUAUUAUUCUUUUCAUCCUCAACUUUAAGGUUUGCUCUUUGAAUUAUUCUUAAUAUUUUUUACAUCGACAGUUUUUAUUCUUGAUCUGAUCUGAGGAGUACAGUUGUUUCAGGGGAGUUUAUGUCAGAGUUAAGUUGGCUGCUUUGUAUUUGUCUAGGGAUAGAUGGAUAGACUGCUUCUACAUUUUCUUAAUAAACCACUCCUAAGCAUUGGGGAAAAAGAAAAUAAAACAAAGAUUAUUUCAAUGGAGGAAAUAUAUGAUGUAGAAAUUAUUAAGAUACAGCAUGUGAAAUUGUUUUUAGCUUGACAAUUAUUCAUCACUGACACUGAUAAUUUUUCAUUGGUAAAAUAGUGUUUAAUCUAAAUGUUUGCCAAAACUUAGUUUGGACUGGGGAUUGCAUGAAGCCCUUCUUUUAUCUUGUUUUGUCAUGCAAAAUUUUUCACUGUGGUUGGAAUCAUAUGCUAGGGAAUGGGAAUCUGUACAAUGACCAACUAGUGAUUUAUAUAAGGCCAAAAGACUUAUUCCCACCCAAGGUUUGUUGUAAACCUAAACUAGUACCUGCUAACUUUGGAAAACCCAAAUUUCUACCUAUAGACUGUUAAAAUUAACUAAAACAAUUAAUUUUAGAGAUAAAAUUGUCAUUUAACUAGUAAUAUAUUAACAAUAUAACACAUUAUCCAUUUUUAUUUUAGGUUUAAAAAAUUAAUAAUUUUCUUCCAGAAUAAAUCUUUGAAAAAUCACAUUUUCUUCUUUAGAGUUUCUUUCUUUUGUCUCUUCCCUUCUCUGGCCGGAUUCUCUCUCUCUCCCAUUUUCUUCCACUAUUUUGGCUUCUCUCUUCCUUUUCUACCCUUUCUGAACGCCAAAAAAUCAUAGAUCUCUAGAUGAAGCAAGAGACAAAUCUCUUGCUUCAUCCAGAGACAAAUUUCAUCUCCAAAGAUAGCCUUGUCUUCAUCUUUGGACGAAGAAAAGGUUGUCUUCGUCCAAAGACAACGUUCAUCUCUAGGCAAAGCAAGAGAUUCUAAAGAUCUGCAAUUUCCGAUGUUGAGAAGGGGAAGAAAAGAGAGAGAGAAGCCAAAAUAGGGGAAGGAGAGAGAAUCCGACCAAAGACAGCGCCGGAGAAGGGGAGGGAGAAAAGAAAAAAAAACCUUAGAGGGAAAAUGUGAUUUUUUUUAAGUUUAAUCUUAGAAUUAACUGUUUCAGCUAAUUUUAACAGCCCAUGAGUGAAAGUUUAGGUUUUCAAAAGUUAGCGGAUACUAGUUUGGGUUUACAACAAACCUUGGGUGGGAAUAAGUAUUUUGGCCUUUAUAUAAUUGUAAAGGGCAUACACUCUGCUUCCUAAUGAAAAUAAUUGUUGAAUCUUCGUUUGCAGCUGGACCACAACUUACGAGGACCUGCUUUGUUCUAAUGAACCUUUUCAACGGCCAAUCUCACUAGCAGAGAUGGUGGAUUUCUUAGUUGACAUCUGGCAUGAAGAAGGCCUUUAUGAUUAGCUAAAGUUUUCUGAGGUGAUUGCACAGUUAUGUUUGUGCAGAUUGACAAAACGACAUAGGUUGUACAGAAACUAAAUCCUGAAAGUUGAUUAAAAACGUAUAAUGUAGAUCACAGUGACGUGUAGAGAAUCAGCAUAUCUUGGAAUGUCAUUUCAUUGAAGGCUCAGGUAAGACUAUUUUACACACAUAAUGACGGAUACUUUAAUCUGGUUUAUAAGGUUCAGGGUUUAAAUUGAAUUAAAUCUCCCAAGAUAAGUUUUUGAGGUUGAGCUUAAAUGUGAUGGACGAUGUAAUGGGCUCCAAUCAAUGGUAGCUAAACCUGCUGUGAGUAGUAGAUCAAGAACCCCAGAGUCAGUUAUCUUAAAAGUGGAGUAUUUGAUUGCAUCUCUUGAAAUUCUGAAAGGGCUUAAUGUGGGAAGCUCAUCACUAUUUCUUUUAGAGUCCUACAAAUCUCUCAAACAAGCGCUAUUCAUGCUCAAAUUAUUGUCAAUGGCACCAUCAGCAGACUAUCUCCAAUUUUGCCUUGUGGGGUUCCAAAGAUGGUCUUCUUCACUCUCAAUACAUCUUUCACAGUUUGUUAAGCCGAUUAUAUAUAUCUGGAGCACUAUGAUCAGAGGCUACUCUCAUAUUGAUUCGCCUUAUCAAUCACUCGUCGUCUAUAUGUACUGCUUUCUAGAGGAAUUGUAUCCCCAAAUAACUUCACAUUCCCAAAAUAUCUCAACUCUUGUGCGGGUCUCUCAAGCCCGAACACAGGAUUUUUUAUUGCUUACAUUCCCAUAAUGUCUUAAAUCUUGUGCCAGUCUCCCAAGCCCGUACUCGGGAUUUUUAGAUUCAUUGUCAUAUAAAUAUGUUUGGCUUCCA